GCUCACUUUGGCAGGGCAUACACUAAAAUUGCAACAAUACAGAGAAGUUUGGCAUGGCCUUCCCAAGGAUAAUAGGUAAAUUUCUGAAGUGUUCUAUGUUUAA
rnacentral:snRNA from 1 species